AUUUUCAAAUACUAAAAAGUCAUCAACAAAAAAAAGGUUGUUAUAACUCAUCAAGAUCUAUAACUUUUAUUUUUGACAUUUCUUAAUCGACAAAGUGUUAGUAACAUUGUUCACAAAACUCACAUAUCUCUCAUCUGGUUUCAUAAACUAUAACGCAGAUAUGUAACAUUGUUCACAAAAUUUACAUAUCUGCGUUAUAGUUUAUGAAACCAGAUGAGAGAUAUGUGAGUUUUGUGAACAAUGCUACUGUCACUUUGUCGGAUGAAGAAAUGACCAAAAUAAAAGUUAUAGAUCUUGAUGAGUUAUACAACUUUGUUGUUGAUGACUUUUUAGUUGAAAUC
rnacentral:pre_miRNA from 1 species